GCUUGGCCCUAAACCUCAGUAGUUAGAUAACAAAACUACUCGCCAGAAUACUACAAGCAACAGCUUAAAACUCAAAGGACUUGACGGUGCUUUACAUCCCCCUAGAGGAGCCUGUUCCGUAAUCGAUAAACCCCGAUCCACCCCACCCUCUCUUGCUCAGCCUAUAUACCGCCAUCUUCAGCAAACCCCAAUGAAGGCUACAAAGUGAGCGCAAACGCCGCUGCCGCGAAUACGUUAGGUCAAGGUGUAGCCCAUGAGACGGUAAAAAAUGGGCUACAUUUUCUAUUUCAGAAAACCCCACGAAAACCCUUAUGAAACUUAAGGGUCCAAGGAGGAUUUAGCAGUAAAUUAAGAAUAGAGUGCUUAAUUGAACCAGGCCAUAAAGCGCG
rnacentral:rRNA from 1 species